CUAGCUAUCGUAUGAAAUGACCAAUUUUGACAUAACUGGUUCAAGUGGUAAAGUCACCGAUUUUUACUAGUUCCACCGGUUUUAGGCUGAUGUUGUCGACUCCUCCAUGUUUCUUUUCUUAAACGAUUAUAUGAAUUCCUUGGGGUCACACACCACACACCAAAUCCCCCUAAUAAUGAUAAUCAUCCAUCGCACCAUCAAUGUUCAUCAUGAACAUUUCAAGAUUUAGAGGAGUCCAUCAAAUACUCAAAGAGAAUCUCCUAGCACCAUCAAAGGUUUCAUGCAUAUUGAUUGGAGAGCUCGGCAUUGUUUUUUUUUUUUUGUUAUUAGUGAAGGUGAGAAUUAGCUUUCGGGAUUGAGAUCUGCACAACUAUUUUC
rnacentral:lncRNA from 1 species